UACGAAGGGGGCUAGCGUUGUUCGGAAUUACUGGGCGUAAAGCGCGCGCAGGCGGUUCUCCAAGUCAGUGGUGAAAGCCCGGAGCUCAACUCCGGAACUGCCAUUGAAACUGCAGAACUUGAGGAUGAGAGAGGUGAGUGGAAUUCCCAGUGUAGAGGUGAAAUUCGUAGAUAUUGGGAAGAACACCGGUGGCGAAGGCGGCUCACUGGCUCAUUUCUGACGCUCAGGCGCGACAGCGUGGGGAUCAAACAGG
rnacentral:rRNA from 2 species